UUUCAUGAAUUACUCGUUUAUGACUUAAAAUAUAACUAUAUUGUAGUUUAAUCCUUGAUUUGAUGAAAAAAUGACUUCAACAUUUGAAACUCAUGCCCCCAACAAACAUGUAAGUCGUAUAUAAAAACACCUGUUUUUUUAUUGAGUUAACCUUGAAAUACUUUACCUGUAUGUCCAUUAUCUGUUAAAUAACAACAGGAUCGCUGUUUUGUUGUUUGAGUUUGGUUGCCGCGUAACCCAUUUGCUAUGUUUUGUGAUAAUAGAAUUAACAAUAAUAAAUAUUAACAUCCAGGUUUAUUUAUUUAUUGUUUUUAUUAGAUGAGACUUGUUACAUCUAAUGGCUACUGAACGAACUAAGUCGAAAAUUGGGCGUUGGGUGGAUGAAACCGUUAA